rnacentral:rRNA from 2 species
AACGACUCUCGGCAACGGAUAUCUCGGCUCACGCAUCGAUGAAGAACGUAGCAAAAUGCGAUACUUGGUGUGAAUUGCAGAAUCCCGUGAACCAUCGAGUUUUUGAACGCAAGUUGCGCCCGAAGCCAUUUGGCCGAGGGCACGUCUGCUUGGGCGUCACGC